ensembl:lncRNA
UUUUUCUUACUUUCUUUUUCUUUUUCUUUUCUCUUACUCCUACUCUUUCAUUAUCUUUUUUUUUUUUUUUUUUUUUUCUCUUUCUUUCUUGUUUUCAGUCUUCUAAGGUUUUUGUGUGUGUGUGUUUGGGGUUCCUCUCCUGUUUAACUUGGCUAAGGACGGACACUUGGAUGGCUUUCCCCACUGCACAGGACACCAUCUGCAUCAGCCUCCGGUUUUCCUAUGGAACUGUGUAUUUAACAUUCUUCAUCCUGAGAUGUUAAUGGGACUGAUGUCAGCAUCCACUCAGCACAGUUUUGCCAUCCAGCAUCUCGGCUCUUGUUACGGUUAAUGGAAAGGAGAGCAUUUAUGUACCUGCAGGAUCUUUUCCUAGUGUCCUCUGAUACAUAAAGAAGAUUUGUGAAACAAACAAAAGCUUCUCUAAGGGGAGAAGGACUGGACUAGAGGUACCUUCACACAUCGGAGAGUCCGUGGUUCCAUGAUUCUGUAUUCAAAGAAAGCCCUUCUGGAGUAGCAUGGAGACAAAAUAACUUCUCUGAUAGGAGAGGAACGAGUGAAAUGGCACCAAUUUAUCUUGAGACAAGCAAGAAAGGAAGCAGAAAAAGGCAUGAAAUGUUCCAGGUACCUGUCCCAGAAAAGAAGAAGAACAGCAUACCCCGGAGGACUUUGCAUUCAGAGAGGAGAUAAAACACCUGGCAAAGUCAAGGGACCUAGCUCUCUUCCCUUCUGCUCGCCCUGACUGCACAUCUCAUCUCAGCAUUAGAGUAAGGCCCUUGGCUUUUGGACAGUCUCUCUCAUUAUAUUUGACUUAUUAGCUUCAAUUCUAAUUAUAUUGUAUUAUAUUGUAUUAUAGUGUGUUAUCUUUCAUUCCGAUGUUUUAUUUAGUAAAACAGUUCGCUUCUUCUCAGACUGUUGCUGUUGUUCUGUUUUUAGGUCCAUCUCUCUACCCUUUUCCCCAUUUUUCCCUGUUUCUGUUUUUCAAGGCACGGAUCUGUGGGUCCCUCUGUCCCACUAGUCACAGAACUGGGCCAAACCAGCCCAUAAACCUUUGACAGUGUCUGACAUGGAAACAUACAUGAAGCAAAGGUGUGUCACUGAAUUCCUCUGUGCAGAAAAAAAUGGCACCCAUUGACACCAGUGCUUGCUGAAUGUUUUUUAUGGAGAUCAAGCACAGUGAACGCAGUGAGGUGAUGAGUGGCACGUUUCAGCAGUGGUUACAGUGACAUGAAAGACAAGACACAUUCCAGAUGGCCAUGUACGGCUUUCACACCACAAAAUGAAGAGCAUCUCAAUUGGAUCAUCUGUACAAAUCAGUGGAUUACAACCAGGAAACUAUGUACAGAACUAGAUCAGUGUGUUGGGAAUGAUGGUGACAGUGUUGGAGUAUCGCAGCAUUUGAGCCAGGUUGUUCCUACUGAUGCUCACAGAGUAACAGAAGGAACAUCAUAUGGAAGUUUGUCAGGACCUAUUGAACCAAUACAAGGCUGAAGGUGACAGUUUCUUAGACCACAUCAUUAUCAGUGAUGAGACAUGAUGUCACCACUACAAGCCAGAGUCAAAACAGAAGUCCAUGAUGUGGUGGCAUGUGAAUUACUCACCAUAUAAAAAGUUCAAGACAAAGCCCUCAGUUGGUAAAGUGAUAUGCACUGCCUUUUGAGACAGGAAAGGAGUGAUCCUUCUAGAUUUCCUGGAACCUGGACAAAUCGUCAACUCUGACCACUACAUUGUGAUGUUGACUAAGCUGAAGACUCAAACUUCCAGAAUGAGGCCAGAGAUCAAGAUAACCUGAUGAACAAGAUGGCUGCAUGAUAAUGCCAGGCUCCAUACCAUUUUUAAAACUGUGGAUCAUGUUGCCAGUCCUGUGUGGAUGUGGUAAGCUGUACUGUCUUACUACACCCACCACAUAGUCCAGAUUUGAUAUCUUCUGUGUGGGCUACAUUUUCUUAGCAGCUAUGCCACUACAGCAUCUGUGAAACAGUGGGUCCACUGCUCUACUAGUGCAGAUUUUUACAAGCAUGGCAUGCAAGCUGGCAAAAAUGCAUUGCUGGUAAAAAAUGCAUUGGUAGUGGUGGUGACUAUGUGGAAGAGUAGCGUUCUGUAGCUGAGAGUUUUCUCUAUCAAAUAGCGCUAUUGUUCUCGUUGUAUCUGUUGUAGUUUCCAUGGAAAUAAAUAGGAAGCAUUAAUUUUGAAGCAACUUAUGUGUAAAGUACUGAUAUAAAUCUGUCUUUUGUUUAAGUUCCUUCCUUACAACUUUUCCUUUUGUUUCAGUUCUCUAAUUGGAAAAUGCAGAAAAAAAAAAAGCAGAAAUCUUCCUUGUAAAUUGUUUUAAGAUUAAGCUUCUUAUUAAAAGCAAACUUUACUUAUUAGAACCUUAAAGACUUAAAGAACCUUACUCAUUGAGGGGAACUACCUCAUGCUUUCUUAGUAGCAAUAACAAAAUGUUUUUUGUGGUUUUUUUUUUGUUUGUUUGUUUUUGUUUUUUUUUUUUUGGUCACAUCCUGCUCAACUACAAAGGAUAACACAGAAAGUCUGCUUUUUAGAGCUGUUUUUUUUUUUUUUUUUUUUAAUCCUUAUACCCACGAGCUUCAGUCAUCUUUAAGAUUUAGUACUGGAGGGCUGCUAAUUAGAAUCAGAUUUGUAAUAGUUUCGUUCAUUCUUUUGAAGACCCUCAUGUAAGAAAUUUUCUGAUUAAUUAUCAAUAAACUUGAAAUAUAGAUGCAGAGAAUCGUAAAUAUAUGGCUACAAGGGAUCUGGUGAAGAUGUCUAAUUCAAUUACUUGACCCAUGGCAAGAUCAUCUGCAGCUAAAGUAUUUCUGACGUAUUUAUCAAGUCUAGUCAUAGGACUAUCAGCAGUGGACAUUGUGCAACCUCUCAAGACAAACUCUUUUCAAGACAAAAAAAAAAAAAAAAAAUCAAAACACAGCCUUGUGUUCUAGAGACAGGAUAUAAAUUAUGGCUGUUUUUAUUUCUCCUAGAUGAUGUGGUGGUAGCUGGGACUAUAUGAGAUGACUGGAUAUGUGUGUGAAUUGAUUGUCAGAUAAUCUUGUUUAUGAAAUAUAAGCAUGAUACCAGACUACAUAGUUUAAAGAUAAUUGUCUCAAGGAUUCUGACUUUAGACAUAUUAAGAAUAUGUUCUGGAUUCUUCAGAGAAUCCCAAAAGUUUUAAAAACACAAAUGUAAUUAGGAAUCUUUGUAUUCAGAAGUGGGAUGUGGACUUUAGAAAGACGUACAGCUCUCACCC